AUCAAUUUUACUUUGAGGCAUGAUAUAGUUGACUGAUUUUGAAGUUAAUACUUGAUUGUUGUAGAAAUGUCCUUCAUAUUAUUCAAGUGGCUGUAUCUUGGGAGUGGACGUCCAUUAGUUUUGAAUAUUAACAAAGUUUAUCAUGAAAGAGAGGAUGCUCUUAUUUCUUUGGAGUUUCCUUUGGUUUUGGCUUCAGGAUGCUCUUGUCCAUUGCUUCAUUGUACAAACAUUUUACGAACAAUUGUACAUAUAUUAAAGUAUAUAUAUUAAAGCGUUCACCAUUUCUUUCCAUAUGGAUAUGUUGUAUAAUACUUUGUGAUUGUAUUGGUGCGUAUAAUGGCAGGGCGACAAGAAAAAUAGGGAUUCAAUUAAAAAUAAGGCAAGAAUGGUAGGUGAAAUGAUGACAGUUAAUAAAAGUCAUAAAUGAUAAAUAAUGACAUUUAAUAUCUAUUAAACAAGAUUAAUAAUGACACUUAUUCUCUGUCAUAAAAUAUAAACAAUGACAGUUAUUACUUGUCAUAAAAUCUAAAUAACGACAUUUAUAAUCUGUCAUAAAAUAAAGAAUUCGUGACAUUUGUUAUCUGUCAUGAAAA